UCGAACGGGAUCCAUCAAGCUUGCUUGGUGGUGAGAGUGGCGAACGGGUGAGUAAUGCGUGACCGACCUGCCCCAUACACCGGAAUAGCUCCUGGAAACGGGUGGUAAUGCCGGAUGCUCCAGUUGAUCGCAUGGUCUUCUGGGAAAGCUUUCGCGGUAUGGGAUGGGGUCGCGUCCUAUCAGCUUGACGGCGGGGUAACGGCCCACCGUGGCUUCGACGGGUAGCCGGCCUGAGAGGGCGACCGGCCACAUUGGGACUGAGAUACGGCCCAGACUCC
rnacentral:rRNA from 1 species